rnacentral:rRNA from 1 species
UACGUAGGGGGGCAAGCGUUGUCCGGAUUUAUUGGGCGUAAAGAGCGUGUAGGCGGCCAUGUAGGUCCGUUGUGAAAACUCGAGGCUCAACCUCGAGACGCCGAUGGAAACCAUGUGGCUAGAGUCCGGAAGAGGAGAGUGGAAUUCCUGGUGUAGCGGUGAAAUGCGCAGAUAUCAGGAAGAACACCCGUGGCUAAGGCGGGUCUCUGGGCCAUAACUGACGCUGAGGAGCGAAAGCGUGGGGAGCGAACAGG